CGACAAGUAGGGCGGGACACGUGAAAUCCUGUCUGAAGAUGGGGGGACCAUCCUCCAAGGCUAAAUACUCGUGAUCGACCGAUAGUGAACCAGUACCGUGAGGGAAAGGCGAAAAGAACCCCGGGAGGGGAGUGAAAUAGAUCCUGAAACCGCAUGCAUACAAACAGUCGGAGCCUCGCAAGGGGUGACGGCGUACCUUUUGUAUAAUGGGUCAGCGACUUACGUUCAGUAGCAAGCUUAACCGAAUAGGGCAGGCGUAGCGAAGGCGAGUCCGAAUAGGGCGUUCAGUUGCUGGGCGUAGACCCGAAACCAGGUGAUCUAUCCAUGGCCAGGAUGAAGGCGCGGUAACACGUACUGGAGGUCCGAACCCACUAACGUUGAAAAGUUAGGGGAUGAGCUGUGGAUAGGGGUGAAAGGCUAAACAAACCUGGAAAUAGCUGGUUCUCUCCGAAAACUAUUUAGGUAGUGCCUCGUGUCUCACCUUCGGGGGUAGAGCACUGUCAUGGUUGGGGGGUCUAUUGCAGAUUACCCCGCCAUAGCAAACUCCGAAUACCGAAGAGUGCAAUCACGGGAGACAGACAUCGGGUGCUAACGUCCGGUGUCAAGAGGGAAACAACCCAGACCGCCAGCUAAGGUCCCCAAAUAUGGCUAAGUGGGAAACGAAGUGGGAAGGCUAAAACAGUCAGGAGGUUGGCUUAGAAGCAGCCACCCUUUAAAGAAAGCGUAAUAGCUCACUGAUCGAGUCGUCCUGCGCGGAAGAUGUAACGGGGCUAAGCCAUAUACCGAAGCUGCGGAUGCGAGCUAGUCUCGCAUGGUAGGAGAGCGUUCCGUAAGCCUGCGAAGGUGCGUUGAAAAGCGUGCUGGAGGUAUCGGAAGUGCGAAUGCUGACAUGAGUAGCGAUAAAGGGGGUGAAAGGCCCCCUCGCCGUAAGCCCAAGGUUUCCUACGCAACGUUCAUCGGCGUAGGGUGAGUCGGCCCCUAAGGCGAGGCAGAAAUGCGUAGCUGAUGGGAAGCAGGUCAAUAUUCCUGCACCAUUGUUAGAUGCGAUGGGGGGACGGAUCGCGGAAGGUUGUCCGGGUGUUGGAAGUCCCGGUCGCUGCAUUGGAGAAGGCGCUUAGGCAAAUCCGGGCGUAGGAUUCAAGGGUGUGGCGCGAGCUCCUUCGGGAGCGAAGCAAUUGGAAGUGGUUCCAAGAAAAGCCUCUAAGCUUCAGUCUAACGAUGACCGUACCGCAAACCGACACAGGUGGGCGAGAUGAGUAUUCUAAGGCGCUUGAGAGAACUCGGGAGAAGGAACUCGGCAAAUUGGUACCGUAACUUCGGGAUAAGGUACGCCCUGGUAGCUUGACUGGCCUGCGCCAGAAGGGUGAAGGGGUUGCAAUAAACUGGUGGCUGCGACUGUUUAAUAAAAACACAGCACUCUGCAAACACGAAAGUGGACGUAUAGGGUGUGACGCCUGCCCGGUGCCGGAAGAUUAAAUGAUGGGGUGCAAGCUCUUGAUUGAAGUCCCGGUAAACGGCGGCCGUAACUAUAACGGUCCUAAGGUAGCGAAAUUCCUUGUCGGGUAAGUUCCGACCUGCACGAAUGGCGUAACGAUGGCCACACUGUCUCCUCCCGAGACUCAGCGAAGUUGAAGUGUUUGUGAUGAUGCAAUCUACCCGCGGCUAGACGGAAAGACCCCAUGAACCUUUACUGUAGCUUUGCAUUGGACUUUGAACCGAUCUGUGUAGGAUAGGUGGGAGGCUAUGAAACCGGAACGCUAGUUUCGGUGGAGCCGUCCUUGAAAUACCACCCUGGUUUGUUUGAGGUUCUAACCUUGGCCCGUGAUCCGGGUCGGGGACAGUGCAUGGUAGGCAGUUUGACUGGGGCGGUCUCCUCCCAAAGCGUAACGGAGGAGUACGAAGGUACGCUAGGUACGGUCGGAAAUCGUGCUGAUAGUGCAAUGGCAUAAGCGUGCUUAACUGCGAGACCGACAAGUCGAGCAGGUGCGAAAGCAGGUCAUAGUGAUCCGGUGGUUCUGUAUGGAAGGGCCAUCGCUCAACGGAUAAAAGGUACUCUGGGGAUAACAGGCUGAUACCGCCCAAGAGUUCAUAUCGACGGCGGUGUUUGGCACCUCGAUGUCGGCUCAUCUCAUCCUGGGGCUGUAGCCGGUCCCAAGGGUAUGGCUGUUCGCCAUUUAAAGAGGUACGUGAGCUGGGUUUAAAACGUCGUGAGACAGUUUGGUCCCUAUCUGCCGUGGGCGUUGGAAGUUUGAAGGGGGCUGCUCCUAGUACGAGAGGACCGGAGUGGACGAACCUCUGGUGUACCGGUUGUGACGCCAGUCGCAUCGCCGGGUAGCUAUGUUCGGAAGAGAUAACCGCUGAAAGCAUCUAAGCGGGAAACUCGCCUUAAGAUGAGACUUCCCCGGGGACUUGAUCCCCUUGAAGGGUCGUUCGAGACCAGGACGUUGAUAGGUCGGGUGUGUAAGCGCAGUAAUGCGUUCAGCUAACCGAUACUAAUUGCCCGUACGGCUUGAUCC
rnacentral:rRNA from 1 species